rnacentral:rRNA from 1 species
AUUGAACGCUGGCGGCAGGCCUAACACAUGCAAGUCGAACGAGAGGCGGACGGGUGAGUUAUGUCUGGGAACCUGCCUGAUGGAGGGCGAUAAGUACUGGAAACGGUAUCUAAUACCGCAUACCAUCAGAUGUGCCCGGUUGGGUUUAGCUUGUUGGUGGGGUAACGGCUCACCAGGGCGACGAUCCCUAGCUGGUCUGAGAGGAUGACCAGACACACUGGAACUGAGACACGGGCCAGACUCCUACGGGAGGCAGCAGUGGGGAAUAUUGGACAAUGGGCGAAAGCCUGAUGCAGCCAUGCCGCGUGUAUGAAGAAGGGCUUCGGGUUGUAAAGUACUUUCAGCGGGGAGGCGUUACCCGCAGAAGAAGCACCGGCUAACUCCGUGCCAGCAGCCGCGGUAAUAC